rnacentral:rRNA from 1 species
UACAGAGGUCUCAAGCGUUGUUCGGAUUCAUUGGGCGUAAAGGGUGCGUAGGCGGCGCGGUAAGUCGGGUGUGAAAUCUCGGAGCUUAACUCCGAAACUGCAUUCGAUACUGCCGUGCUUGAGGACUGGAGAGGAGACUGGAAUUUACGGUGUAGCGGUGAAAUGCGUAGAUAUCGUAAGGAAGACCAGUGGCGAAGGCGAGUCUCUGGACAGUUGCUGACGCUGAGGCACGAAGGCCAGGGGAGCAAACGGG